CCACCUAUGCUACUGGGUGAAUCUAGGGGCAUGAAUAAAGAGCUGCCCUGACAAUGUAACGAUAGAAACUUAGUUUCGGGGAACGAAUCGUGAGAAAUGUUCCUUCCUAGCAACCACAGCUGGGUAAGUGC
rfam:Freshwater sediment metagenome lwMethane_C685, whole genome shotgun sequence.